rnacentral:rRNA from 1 species
AAACUAGGAAUAGAUACCCUAUUAGAAAUAAUUAAAAUUUAGUAGUAAGUGAAAUUCAUGAAACUUAAAUUAAAUUGCGCGGCUAUUUAAAUUUUUUAGAAGGAAUUUAUUCAGUAAAGGAUCCAACACCAAAAUCUUACUUUUGUUAGUUUACAGUUUGUAUAUCUCUAUAUAAAAAUAUAAUAUUAUAUUUUUUAUUUUAUUGACUAGCUAGAUUUUAGGUAAAGGUGCAGCUUAUACAAAAGAUUGAAAUAAAUUAUAUUAAUUAUUGUUUAACAAUAUAUCUAUGGUAGAUAGGUGUUUAGUAAAAUUUAAAAGUAAAAUUAAUAGAUUAAGUUAAUUUGAAUAUUAAUUUAAUUGUGUACAUAUUGCCCGUCACUCUCUUAUUAGAGAUAAGUCGAACAUAGUA